rnacentral:rRNA from 1 species
GUAUACCCGUGUAGAAAUCUUCAGAGCAAACCGGGUAGUAGAAGAUUCGAUCAGUGAUUGCCCCACUUGCGCAGAGUGGAGGGGCAACAGCCACAUCAUGAAAUCUGCCAGCCUCCGCGACAGCUGAGUUGGCUUCGCAGAGGACAGGUAUAGUUCGCCUCCUUUCGAGUUCCCUGGAGCAUGAUGCCACAGAGGGUGAGAGGAGGACAUCAGGAUGGGUCGCAGAUUCUCUGAAGCUCGUUCUCAGAGUCGAGCAGUUUGAUAAUGCGUAUGUAAAUGGGAGGUAUACAUUUUCUAAAGAGAAAUACUCCCCAGAGAGUGAUAGCGCACAAGUAGAGUGAUCGAAAGAUGAAAAGUCCUUUGAAAAGAGGGUUAAACAGUACGUGAAAUUGUCAAAAGGGAAGCGCUCGUAACCAGACCCGGGCGCGGCGAAUCACCCGGCGUUCUCGCCGGUGCACUUCGCCGCGCCCGGGCCAGCAUCAGUUCGCGGCGGGGGAUAAAGGCGCCGGGAACGUGGCUCCCCCGGGAGUGUUAUAGCCCGGCGCGCCAUGCCCCGCGGCGGACUGAGGUUCGCGCGUCCGCAAGGAUGCUGGCGUAAUGGUCACCAGUGACCCGUCUUGAAACACGGACCAAGGAGUCGUCCUCGUAUGCGAGUGUUCGGGCGUCAAACCCCUACGCGCAAUGAAAGUGAACGCAGGUGAGAGCCCUCGCGGGCGCAUCAUCGACCGAUCCUGAUGUCCUCGGAUGGAUUUGAGUAAGAGCAUACGGGGCCGGACCCGAAAGAAGGUGAACUAUGCCUGUGUAGGGUGAAGCCAGAGGAAACUCUGGUGGAGGCUCGCAGCGGUUCUGACGUGCAAAUCGAUCGUCAAACAUGGGCAUGGGGGCGAAAGACUAAUCGAACUGCAUGCGCCG